rnacentral:lncRNA from 1 species
AGUGCUGGGAUUACAGACGUGAGCCAACGUGCCCGGCCUACUUUUCACCAUGGAAUUGGAAAAGAAACAUUUGGGAAUCAGCUGGAAAAAUGACAACUAGCCCAAUGGGGAAAACCCACAGGGACUCAGCAGGUUUGUUCAUGCUUCCUGUUUAUGUGAAGGAGUCCCAGAUCACCUCCAAAAGAAAUCUGUUUUUAAAAAGGAAGGGGAUCCAGUGGGGUAUUCUCUGCCAGCCUCCAAAGUUAUGGAGAUGUGGUCAAUGCCGAUACAAUAUAAGCUUAGAAUCACAGGGGCAGGAGAACAAGAUCAUUCUUAGUCAAUUAAAAACGUAUUCUCUAGAUUACUAAUCUUUGCUGGAUUCCAUGGAAGAAAACAAUACUUUUCUGUGGCCUCAGAGAGCUUAGGUUUUCAUCUGAGUUUACCUAGAAGAUUCACCAUCCUUGUAAGGGAACAGAAAGAGAGAAAGUAAAAAACAAAAGGAUCUCAAGUCUGAGGUUUGACAUGUGGUACUCACAGAACAUUCCUUUCAGCAGCUGGUGGCCUAUUCUUUCUAUUGAUUAAGAAUGUGAAGUUUAAAAAAACAAAAUAUAUCAUUCCAUUGUCCCCUGGCUUGCUAGUUUCUGAUAAGCAGCCCCUUGCCUGAGACUUUGUUCCUCUGUUUAAUUUUUUUUUUUAUCCCCCUCUCUGUCUCUUUUUAACGAUACUCUUCUUGUCACUGGUUUUCAGAAACUGGAUUACAAAGUGCCCUGGUGAGGUUCUGUUUGUGUUUACACUAUGCGCUUAGGCUGCUUGUUCAGUGCCUUUGAUCUGUGGGUUUAUAAAACUUGAAACGUUUUCAGCCAAAAAAAAAAAAAAAAGAAGAAGAAGAAGAAGAGCUUCAGGGUCAGCAAGACUCCAAAUCAGGCUGAAAGCUGAGUUAGCAGUGGGAUCUUAGAGAAGUUCCUCAAAUGGUCUGAGUCUUGAUUUUCUCAUUGGUAAACUGGGGAUAAUAACACCAACCUUGCAGAGCAACUGUAAGGCCUAAAUAAACCAGGUAAACGUGGCAAGACAGAAUUCUGCAAUAUAUUAGCCGAGUUUCUCCCCAUAUGCACGCUCCUUCCCAACCACAAUUUCUA